rnacentral:rRNA from 1 species
AGCGAACGCUGGCGGCAGGCCUAACACAUGCAAGUCGAACGGAUCCUUCGGGAUUAGUGGCGGACGGGUGAGUAACACGUGGGAACGUGCCCUUUGGUUCGGAACAACUCAGGGAAACUUGAGCUAAUACCGGAUGUGCCCUUCGGGGGAAAGAUUUAUCGCCAUUGGAGCGGCCCGCGUCUGAUUAGCUAGUUGGUGAGGUAACGGCCCACCAAGGCGACGAUCAGUAGCUGGUCUGAGAGGAUGAUCAGCCACACUGGGACUGAGACACGGCCCAGACUCCUACGGGAGGCAGCAGUGGGGAAUCCUGCGCAAUGGGCGAAAGCCUGACGCAGCCAUGCCGCGUGAAUGAUGAAGGUCUUAGGAUUGUAAAAUUCUUUCAGCGGGGACGAUAAUGACAGUACCCGCAGAAGAAGCUCCGGCUAACUUCGUG